rnacentral:lncRNA from 1 species
CGAACGAAGUUGUCCCGAAGCUCCUAGCACCCUAAGGUAUCAUUUGGUUAGGGGAUAAGUAAAAAGUGGCUAUUCCAAGGAUAGGUAUAAAUUGAGGUAUAAGCGGGAAUUAUAUCAAUUUUGUGUUUGGAUAAAAAUUGGGUUAUUCCUGGAAAUAAAAAAAAUAACGUUGGGUUAGAUAAGAUGGAAUAAGAAUUAAAGUGGGUAGUAUAAAUAAAAAAUAAUGGUAUUAUCCCUUUCUUUAUUUUAGAAUUUAAAUUUUUAUAUUUUAUAUUUAUAUUUUAGAAUUUAAAAUAUAAACUUUUAAAUUUUAAAAUUUUAAAAUCUCAAAUUUACAAUUUUAAAAAAUUAAAGUUUUAAAUUUUAAACUUUAAUAAAUAGUUAUUAAUUUAGCCAAUAUUUUAUUACUAACUUAGUUAACUAUUAAUUUAGUUAAUUAAUUAAUAAAAUAUUAUAUAAUACAUUAAUUAAUAAUAUUUUAUUAUUAAAUGAGUAGAGGUAUAAAGAGAAGAAAUUGUUAUUCCACCAAAAAGGUGGAACAACAAUUUUCCACUCUUAACGGGUUAUUCUAGAAUAACCCGUUAAGAGGGGAUUAAAUAAACU